AGCAAAUGUUGCAUUCAAAACCAUCUUUUAAUCUUUUGAUUGUCUCAACAAAAUUGGUUGGUUCAUUAAUUUGUACAAGAGAAGCAAUUUCUCUCAUGGAGUUCAAAGACAAGGAGGGUCGUGAUAGACAAUGUAAUAUAAAAAUUAGAUUACUUAUGGUAAGAUUUAAAAAUUUGUAUAGUUGUUUAUAGUUUGAUUAUUGGUCAAAUUUAUUUGGAUAAUGUAAAUAUUUAUUUAUUUUAA